ensembl:lncRNA
GUUGUUGAUAGUGGCUCACAGGACACAUGGGACUUAGUGCGAUUCUUAGCGUCUUCUACCUUGUAACUAUUUCAAUCCUGUUUAUGCCUUCUAGUGCUUAAGUUAUUAGGCCUGUGAAAUGAGGAUGAUGAUGCUUGCUUCGCAACAGAGGUCCAUAUAACCCUGGUAAGGGAACAGUGCUGCACAGGAGAUCCAGUGGCACUACAAGUGAUCACAAGUUGCAAGAAACUGCAAAGAAUUCAACCUCGACAGAACAAGGCAGAAAAUCUCAAAACGUGGGAUUUCUGAGUAUGUUCCUGAGAGAAAAAUUGAAUAUGCUGGGCUAAAAGAAUCAGUUAAUUCCUUAAUAUACUGAUAUUACUAGUGAAAUUAUCCUAACUGGCCAAUUUGCAAGAGCUCUUCAUUCAAUGAAAUGCCUACUGGAUGGAGUAAACAACCAUAAUUUUCUUGUUGUUUUUUUUUUUUUUUUUUAGUUGUGGGGUUUUUUUGUUGUUUUGAUUUUGGGUGGGUCUUUUGUUGCCUAGGUUUUUCUCAGUUUGAAAAAUAAAACAUUAAAUAUCCACUAGAGGUAAUUUUUU